CGCAGCUUCCCUUCCAAUCACACUCUGGAUAGUGGAAUGCAGAGAGAAGACAGGAUCUGGGCUCAUCUCUUGAUUGAGGCCUUGGAGUAUUGAAUAUUUAGCAGGGACUCUGUACCCAAGCCAGGCCAGGUGCAGGAAGGGGCUGGGAUCAGGCCUCAGGCCUCCCCUGGGCAACGAUUUCAGGCAAGAAAGCUUUCUAUUUAACAGCCAGAAACUUGACCAAGCUAUGUGAUCCUUAUAAAACCUUAGACUAUUUGGGAGCCAGUAAGAAGAUGAAGUCCAAGAGAUGUGGGUUUGGAUUAGCUGGUGACCUAAUAGUUGAGCAUAAAUGGCCUUCAUCUCCCCCUCAAAAAGAAGAGAGACACAUAAGCAAAAAAACAGA